rnacentral:tRNA from 1 species
UGCCUUUGUAGCUUAUAUAGAUAGAGCAUAGCACUGAAGAUGCUAAGGAAGCAAAGUUUGCUCGGAGGCAA